rnacentral:rRNA from 1 species
CGGACGGGUGAGUAACGCGUGGGUAACCUGCCUUGUACUGGGGGACAACAGUUGGAAACGACUGCUAAUACCGCAUAAGCGCACAGCUUCGCAUGAAAGCAGUGUGAAAAACUCCGGUGGUACAAGAUGGACCCGCGUCUGAUUAGCUAGUUGGUGAGGUAAUGGCCCACCAAGGCAACGAUCAGUAGCCGGCCUGAGAGGGUGAACGGCCACAUUGGGACUGAGANACGGCCCAAACUCCUACGGGAGGCAGCAUG